rnacentral:rRNA from 1 species
CAGCUCUCCGAGUGGUGUGGAUGUUUAUUGGGCCUAAAGCAUCCGUAGCUGGCCAAGUUAGUCCCCUGUUAAAUCCACCGAAUUAAUCGUUGGAGUGCGGGGGAUACUGCUCGGCUAGGGGACGAGAGAGGCCGACGGUAUUUUCGGGGUAGGGGUGAAAUCCUAUAAUCCCGGGAGGACCACCAGUGGCGAAGGCUGUCGGCUAGAACGCGCCCGACGGUGAGGGAUGAAAGCUGGGGGAGCGAACCGGAUUAGAUACCCGAGUAGUCC